rnacentral:lncRNA from 1 species
CCUGAAACAAGUAACCCAAUUUGGAACACUCUUUAUUGAUGAUCUCGACUCAAAGAUGUAUGGAUACGAAGAAAACAAAAAUUUCAAGUUGUAAAAAUAAUGGGUCUUGUGGCAAGUUGUUUGGACACCUAUUUUCAAGAUUUUCAAAUAUUUAUAGAUUUGCGCAAGAUUCAUCAUAUUUAAAAUUUUUAAUUUCAUAAUCAAGGAUGAAAAUAAAUGUUCAAGCAAUCAUAAGGUUUCAACUCCAGAACUAUAUCCAGCACCUAAUAUAAAACUCAUCCAAAAAAAUAUAAAUAAAUAAAAAAAACAUUUAUAUAAGGUUACAACCUUAUAUUAUUAACGUGAAGUGAGCCUAGAAAAUUAUCUAGAAGAGAGUAUUUCAACAUUGGAUAAACAUUAAAUUGAUC